rnacentral:lncRNA from 1 species
UACCCUCGACUGUCUCCAGAAUGGACAGUUAGAUCCCAGCACUUCAGAAAGAAGGACAAUGGCAAGCUCAAACCAGCGAGGAUCAAGAUUAGAAACCAACAUGAUUUUGGGAUUUUCCUAACUAAGGGUGCUUAAUAAAUGGGUGGAAAGGUAUCAUUUUACACUGGUCUGAUGUUGUUGAUAUACAUUGCAGAGAUUCUGGAUUGACUGUGCUAGCAGGAGAAGCUGGGAGUGACUUCUGAGCUGGACUGACCACUGGACGCCAAGUGAUUAUCCCUAAUGUAUUACAUGUCAUUUGCAACCCAAGCUGUCCGUCAUGUACUGGGCCAUCUGACACACUCAUAAAAUCCCAUUACCAACUGGAAAUGGUUUAUGUGGGACUAGCUCCUAACCAGGUACUGAAGGCACAAGUGCAUUAUAUGCAUAGGUAGAUCAUUCCCUGUGUGCCUACCCCUGACCCUUUCAUCAAUCUAACACCGGCCUCAAAGGGGUUUCCCAAGAGCUAGUGACUAAGAGAGGAAAAACCACUGAUCCUCAUUUACAGAUAGCUUCACACCAUAUGCUUGCCUACCUUUUUUUUUUUUUUUUUGAGACGAAGUCUCGUUCUGUCGCCCAGGCUGGAGUUCAGUGGUGCGAUCUCAGCUCCCUGCAACCCCUGCCUCCCGGGUUCCAGCAGUUCUCCUGCCUCAGCCUCCCGAGUAGUUGGGAAUGCAGGUGGGUGCCACCACGCCCAGCUAAUUUUUGGUAUUUUUAGUUGAGACGGGGUUUCACUGUGUUAGCCAGGAUGGUCUUUAUCUUCUGGCCUCAUGAUCCGCCCACUUCGGCCUCCCUAAGUGCUGGGAUCAUAGGCGUGAGCCACUGCACCCGGCCCUACCUUCUAAAUAGGUGACUGUGAUGUUAUAGUUCAGUGAGGAUAGCAGGUGAGAGGGAGAACCUCCUGGGGAGGAGAAUUUGAAGCACAUAACUCUGUGUCCACUUUGCUUGGAAGCAAAGAAAAUUUGAUGCAAGAAGCUACACCAACUUCUGAGCAGUGUAGAUGGGGGGUUCUGUUCAACAGGUCACAAACUUGAAAGAAGAAUGACUGGAGGUUUAAUGACAGAGGAGAGGUGUGGGAAGACAUACAUGGCUUCACUUCUCAGAAUGGGCCAAAUUUGAAAAUGUUUGUUUCUUGAGUAAAACAUCAUCCAAAAUACCCACUAUAGCAAAAGCUAAUAAUAAUUAAUUGAACCAGGCCAUCUGCUUAUGUGUAAUGAUUUCUUUCUCCAGGCACAUCAUUGCUUCAACUGAUUCAUGAGCAGAAGAGUCUUUGCUGGCAACACAUGAACUGUGAUGGAUUCAAUCACUUAGGCUUUCCAUUAUCAAUGCAGACCUGGCCCCUGGGUGCACAGGGUUAUCAGUGACCACCCCUGAAUGCCGCAACUGACCAGACUCCAGGGACACCAUGGACUACUUAGUUGCAGACUGAUGACUUUGGACCUCUUCCAUUAUGGAAAGGGCAGUGAUUUCUUUUCACUGAAACAGGCUCAUGUCUGACUUUGGAACUGACCUCUCUGCCUGUAGAUCAUCAUGGCAUGCUCUACAAAAUUGCUUCUGACAACGGAAUUCACUUUACAGUGAAAGAGGGAAAGCAGUGGGUGAUACCCUUGUCAAUGGAUCCUGUCACCCAGAAGCAGUCAUCUGUAUUCAGCUGUGACAUGAUUUAUUGAAGAUUUCAUUUCAGGACUGAGAGACGAUCAUACCUAAGGAGAUUGAAAUAUCGUCCUUUAAGAUGCUUGUUUGUUCUGAACUAGGGAACAUCACGUGGUGCCGUUUCUCCCACAGCCAGACUAAACAGGUCUGGAGGAAGGGGAAGUAGGCACGGUGCAACUUCCAUCUUACUUAAUGACUCUCACUCUCUUCAACUUUUUUUCCACCAAUUAGCGAUUUUAUUCCCAGGAAAGGAAGGUUGCACCAUUGAGGCAGCUGACCGUUGGGGUGGCUCCCUUUGGAAAGGGGAUAUAAAGUGUUUGUAUGAGUGAUGGUUCCAUUAAAGCAGACAUUUUUUAAAAAGGUGAAAUUUGGGGAAUUAGAGUGAAUAUAGAUGUUGAACAGAAAAAGAGUGAUAUAGCAAUAGUCUGGACAUGUGGGCUGGCCACCUGGAAUUUCACAUGCCAUUAGGUC